rnacentral:rRNA from 1 species
CCUACGGGUGGCAGCAGUGAGGAAUAUUGGUCAAUGGGCGGGAGCCUGAACCAGCCAAGUCGCGUGAGGGAUGAAGGUACUGAGUAUUGUAAACCUCUUUUGUCGGGGAGCAAAAGCCGGACGUGUCCGGCUGUGAGAGUACCCGAAGAAAAAGCAUCGGCUAACUCCGUGCCAGCAGCCGCGGUAAUACGGAGGAUGCGAGCGUUAUCCGGAUUUAUUGGGUUUAAAGGGUGCGCAGGCGGAUUUUUAAGUCAGCGGUAAAAUCGUGGGGCUCAACCCCAUCCAGCCGUUGAAACUGGGGAUCUAGAGUGUGCUAGAGGUAUGCGGAAUGCGUGGUGUAGCGGUGAAAUGCAUAGAUAUCACGCAGAACCCCGAUUGCGAAGGCAGCAUACCGGUGCACAACUGACGCUGAGGCACGAAAGCGUGGGUAUCGAACAGGAUUAGAUACCCGUGUAGUC